rnacentral:rRNA from 1 species
UACGUAGGGGGCGAGCGUUGUCCGAAGUUACUGGGCGUAAAGCGUGCGCAGGCGGUUCUCCAAGUCCGUUGUGAAAGCCCCGGGCUCAACCUGGGAAUGGCAGUGGAAACUAGGGGACUGGAAUCUGGCAGAGGGGGGUGGAAUGCCGCGUGUAGCAGUGAAAUGCGUAGAGAUGCGGCGGAACACCGAUGGCGAAGGCAGCCCCCUGGGCUGAGAUUGACGCUCAGGCACGAAAGCGUGGGGAGCAAACAGG